AUUGAACGCUGGCGGCAGGCCUAACACAUGCAAGUCGAACGAGUGGCGGACGGGUGAGUUAUGUCUGGGCAACUGCCUGCUGGAGGGGGAUAACUACUGCAAACGGUAGCUACUACCGCAUACCAUAGGAUGUGCCCAGAUGGGAUUAGCUAGUAGGUGGGGUACCGGAUCACCUAGGUGACGAUCCCUAGCUGGUCUGAGAGGAUGACCAGCAAAACGGAAAACGUGAAACGGUGCAAACUCGUAAGGGAGUGAGCAGUGGGGAAUAUGGAACAAUGGGCGAAAGGCAGUAGCAGUCAUGCCGGGUGUAUGAAGAGGGCCAUCGGGUUGUAAAGGACUAAAGGCGAGGAAGCGUUACAAAAAGAAGAAGCACCGGCUAACUCAGUGCCAGCAGCCGCGGUAAUUC
rnacentral:rRNA from 1 species